UGAAAUCAGGAGUGAUUCAGUUUGAUUCUAAAUUUUCGACCACUAUUCUAGUUUGCAUCUGGAGCAAAAUAGAACAAACUCGCUGGUUUCCCCAGCAGUGUUCUAUUCAUGUUUUUCAAAUUUUCAAUUAAUUGAAAUCAUUAUGUUACUACCAAGAAAGGCGCCAGAAUUGCAAAGUGGAUUGAUCCGUAGAUAAAAUGACGCAUCUAUACACCAAAACAAUUGAAAAAUAUUUGAAUCUCGUGAUUCAAUCGUGGUUCAAAUCUGCAGAAAAUAGAACGGAGCGUUAUACCAGUUUUAUUUUUUUGACAGUUGACUGGUAUAAAAACUGCCCCAUAAAAAGUUUGACAGUUCUGAAAUUUCACCAUCCCCCGACGAAAUCGGGUGCAUACCAAAUCUACCUAUUUUCACACCGACGACGUCGAUUGUCGUAGCAUACUUAAUUUCGUCUCCAGACUCUUUGAACAAUGAAGUCGGGUGCAAUCGGUAUCCGAUUUCAUCGGUAAAAUAAUCGAUAGAUUAUUUGGGGUGGUAUUUGGUGCUUAUUUUGAUCGUCCGAUUAAUUAACAGAUGAAGUCAGGUGCUUGUGCUUAUAAACAUAACACGAAGCAAAAUUUGUAGAUUUUGAGAAAGCUCGAAUAGUUGAUCGGAAGAAUAGUGUGCACCAGCUACCGCCCGGAAUGUAGUGAGUUGCACUCGACCCCAGUGAAAAACUCCUCCUCCUCGGACCCGGUCGAGAGGAACAUGUCCGUGGGUAGGAGCUCCCAGGGAGUGGAAAUUUUGCUCUCUGGGUUGAAGGCGGCCGCCUUGGCGUGGACCGCCGUUUCCUUCGCCAUCAUGAUAAUGGCUGUUGGUUCGUCUUGUAGUUCGGUAUCCGAAAAACUGGUUCUCCGAUAACUAGAAUCGAUAAGUUUGAGAAGAUCCCGCUCGAUAACUAAUUGUUCAUGUACUCGGACCUGGAUCCAUAAAUAUUUACGGGUUAUGCCAUGCCCCCAUUUAAUAAACCUAUUAAACACCCUAUUUUAUCUAAUCUUAUUAUUUGGCACAUCGAUUUAUCUACAGAUUAAGUCUAACCUGCUCUUUAAUGAAAUCUAAUAAAACGAUUAAU